rnacentral:rRNA from 1 species
GAAAUAUUAACUGUUUCAUUUAAAUUUUUUAUAGAAUUUUAUUUUUUAGUCAAAAAGCUAAAAUUUAUUUAAAAGACGAGAAGACCCUAUAAAUCUUUAUAUUUUGUUUGUUUUAAUUAUAAAGAUUAUUUUUAUUAUAACAAAUAAAAAUAUUUUAUUGGGGUGAUAUUAAAAUUUAAAAAACUUUUAAUUUUUAAACUCAUUAAUUUAUGUUUAAUUGAUCCAUUAAUAAUGAUUAAAAAUUUAAGUUACUUUAGGGAUAACAGCGUAAUUUUUUUGGAGAGUUCAUAUCGAUAAAAAAGAUUGCGACCUCGAUGUUGGAUUAAGAUAUAAUUUUGGGUGUAGCCGUUCAAAUUUUAAGUCUGUUCGACUUUUAAAUUCUU